AUUGAACGCUGGCGGCAUGCCUUACACAUGCAAGUCGAACGGUAACAGGUCUUCGGAUGCUGACGAGUGGCGAACGGGUGAGUAAUACAUCGGAACGUGCCCGAUCGUGGGGGAUAACGAGGCGAAAGCUUUGCUAAUACCGCAUACGAUCUACGGAUGAAAGCGGGGGAUCUUCGGACCUCGCGCGGACGGAGCGGGCGAGGGCCGAUUCGGUAGUUGGUGGGGUAAAAGCUUACCAAGCCGACGAUCUGUACCUGGUCUGAGAGGAUGAUCAGCCACACUGGGACUGAGACACGGCCCAGACUCCUACGGGAGGCAGCAGUGGGGAAUUUUGGACAAUGGGCGAAAGCCUGAUCCAGCCAUGCCGCGUGCAGGAUGAAGGCCUUCGGGUUGUAAACUGCUUUUGUACGGAACGAAAAGCCUCUUUCUAAUAAAGAGGGGUCAUGACGGUACCGUAAGAAUAAGCACCGGCUAACUACGUG
rnacentral:rRNA from 1 species